UGGGGAAUAUUGCACAAUGGGCGCAAGCCUGAUGCAGCCAUGCCGCGUGUAUGAAGAAGGCCUUCGGGUUGUAAAGUACUUUCAGCGGGGAGGAAGGUGUUGUGGUUAAUAACCACAGCAAUUGACGUUACCCGCAGAAGAAGCACCGGCUAACUCCGUGCCAGCAGCCGCGGUAAUACGGAGGGUGCAAGCGUUAAUCGGAAUUACUGGGCGUAAAGCGCACGCAGGCGGUCUGUCAAGUCGGAUGUGAAAUCCCCGGGCUCAACCUGGGAACUGCAUCCGAAACUGGCAGGCUUGAGUCUUGUAGAGGGGGGUAGAAUUCCAGGUGUAGCGGUGAAAUGCGUAGAGAUCUGGAGGAAUACCGGUGGCGAAGGUGGCCCCCUGGACAAAGACUGACGCUCAGGUGCGAAAGCGUGGGGAGCAAACA
rnacentral:rRNA from 1 species